UUCCGACCGCAACCCCAGGUCAGGCGGGAUACCCGCUGAGUUUAGCAUAUCA
rnacentral:rRNA from 1 species